GAUGAAGAACGUAGUGAAAUGCGAUAAGUAAUGUGAAUUGCAGAAUUCAGUGAAUCAUCGAAUCUUUGAACGCACAUUUCGCCCGCCAGUAUUCUGGCGGGCAUGCCUGUUCGAGCGUCAUUUCAACCAUCAAGCCCCAGGCUUGUGUUGGGGACCUGCGGCUGCCGCAGGCCCUGAAAACCAGUGGCGGGCUCGCUGUCACACCGGGCGUAGUAGAUUUUAUCUCGCUCAGGGCGUGCUGCGGGUUCCGGCCGUUAAAAAGCCUUUUUUACCCAAGGUUGACCUCGGAUCAGGUAGGAAGACCCGCUGAACUUAAGCAUAUCAAUAAGCGGAGGA
rnacentral:misc_RNA from 1 species